CCUACGGGGGGCUGCAGUGAGGAAUAUUGGUCAAUGGCCGCAAGGCUGAACCAGCCAAGCCGCGUGAGGGAGGACGGCGCUGUGCGUUGUAGACCUCUUUUGUCGGGGGACAAAAGGCCGGACGGGUCCGGUUCUGAGAGUACCCGGAGAAAAAGCAUCGGCUAACUCCGUGCCAGCAGCCGCGGUAAUACGGAGGAUGCGAGCGUUAUCCGGAUUUAUUGGGUUUAAAGGGUGCGCAGGCGGGCCGUUAAGUCGGCGGUAAAAUCGCGGGGCUCAACCCCGCCGUGCCGUCGACACUGGCGGGCUUGAGUGCGGUGGAGGCAUGCGGAAUGCGCGGUGUAGCGGUGAAAUGCAUAGAUAUCACGCAGAACCCCGAUUGCGAAGGCAGCGUACCGUGCCGCCACUGACGCUGAGGCACGAAAGCGCGGGGAUCGAACAGGAUUAGAUACCCUGGUAGUC
rnacentral:rRNA from 1 species